UGCCAAUUUUAUCGAUCUUAGAU
rnacentral:siRNA from 1 species